rfam:Glycine soja cultivar W05 scaffold2285_13, whole genome shotgun sequence.
AUCUUCUCAAUUUCUUAAGAACUCAAAUUUUGAUUUGGGUGCAAUGAGCCAAUCUAUUAUUUGAAUAGGAAGAUCUGAUGC